rnacentral:rRNA from 1 species
AGUGAACGCUGGCGGUAGGCCUAACACAUGCAAGUCGAACGGCAGCACAGUAAGAGCUUGCUCUUACGGGUGGCGAGUGGCGGACGGGUGAGGAAUACAUCGGAAUCUACUUUUUCGUGGGGGAUAACGUAGGGAAACUUACGCUAAUACCGCAUACGACCUACGGGUGAAAGCAGGGGAUCUUCGGACCUUGCGCGAUUGAAUGAGCCGAUGUCGGAUUAGCUAGUUGGCGGGGUAAAGGCCCACCAAGGCGACGAUCCGUAGCUGGUCUGAGAGGAUGAACAGCCACACUGGAACUGAGACACGGUCCAGACUCCUACGGGAAGCAGCAGUGGGGAAUAUUGGACAAUGGGCGCAAGCCUUAUCCAGCCAUACCGCGUGGGUGAAGAAGGCCUUCGGGUUGUAAAACCCUUUUGUUGGGAAAGAAAAACAGCAGGUUAAUACCCCGCUGUUCUGACGGUACCCAAAGAAUAAGCACCGGCUAACUUCGUG